GACGAACGCUGGCGGCGUGCUUAACACAUGCAAGUCGAACGGUAAGGCCCCUUCGGGGGUACACGAGUGGCGAACGGGUGAGUAACACGUGAGCAACCUGCCCUUGACUCUGGGAUAACAGUUGGAAACAGCUGCUAAUACCGGAUACGACCUUCGAUGACAUCAUCUGGAGGUGGAAAGCGCUUUAGCGGUCAAGGAUGGGCUCGCGGCCUAUCAGCUUGUUGGUGAGGUAACGGCUCACCAAGGCUUCGACGGGUAGCCGGCCUGAGAGGGCGACCGGCCACACUGGGACUGAGAUACGGCCCAGACUCCUACGGGAGGCAGCAGUGGGGAAUAUUGCACAAUGGGCGCAAACCUGAUGCAGCAACGCCGCGUGCGGGAUGACGGCCUUCGGGUUGUAAACCGCUUUCAGUUCCGACGAAGCGCAAGUGACGGUAGGAACAGAAGAAGGACCGGCCAACUACGUGCCAGCAGCCGCGGUAA
rnacentral:rRNA from 1 species